CUCUCGCAUCGAUGAAGAACGCAGCGAAAUGCGAUAAGUAAUGUGAAUGCAGAAAUUCAGUGAAUCAUCGAAUCUUUGAACGCACCUUGCGCUCCUUGGUAUUCCGAGGAGCAUGCCUGUNUGAGUGUCAUGGAAUUCUCAACCUGACGGAGUUNUGCUACUCUGACGGGUCGGACUUGGAGGCCUGUGUCGGCUGCUAGCUCAGUUGACUCCUCUGAAAUGCAUUAGCGCGAAUCUUGCGGAUCGCCUUCAGUGUGAUAAUCUAUCUGCGCUGUGGCUGUGAAGCAAUUAAUCGACUUGCGCUUACAAUCGUCUCUCUCGAGACAAAUUAUGACAUCUGGCCUCAAAUCAGGUAGGACUACCCGCUGAACUUAAGCAUAUCAAUAAGCGGAGGAAAAGAAACUAACAAGGAUUCCCCUAGUAACUGCGAGUGAAGCGGGAAAAGCUCAAAUUUAAAAUCUGGCGGUCUUGGCCGUCCGAGUUGUAUUCUAGAGAAGCGUCUUCCGCGC
rnacentral:rRNA from 1 species